GAUGAACGCUGGCGGCGUGCCUAAUACAUGCAAGUCGAGCGAACAGACGAGGAGCUUGCUCCUUUGACGUUAGCGGCGGACGGGUGAGUAACACGUGGAUAACCUACCUAUAAGACUGGGAUAACUUCGGGAAACCGGAGCUAAUACCGGAUAACAUGUUGAACCGCAUGGUUCAACAGUGAAAGACGGUCUUUCUGUCACUUAUAGAUGGAUCCGCGCCGCAUUAGCUAGUUGGUAAGGUAACGGCUUACCAAGGCAACGAUGCGUAGCCGACCUGAGAGGGUGAUCGGCCACACUGGAACUGAGACACGGUCCAGACUCCUACGGGAGGCAGCAGUAGGGAAUCUUACGCAAUGGGCGAAAGCCUGACGGAGCAACGCCGCGUGAGUGAAGAAGGUCUUCGGAUCGUAAAACUCUGUUAUUAGGGAAGAACAAAUGUGUAAGUAACUAUGCACGUCUUGACGGUACCUAAUCAGAAAGCCACGGCUAACUACGUG
rnacentral:rRNA from 1 species